rnacentral:rRNA from 1 species
AGAGUUUGAUCCUGGCUCAGAGUGAACGCUGGCGGCAGGCCUAAUACAUGCAAGUCGAACGGCAGCACAGCAGAGCUUGCUCUGUGGGUGGCGAGUGGCGGACGGGUGAGGAAUACGUGGGAAUCUGCCCAGUCGUGGGGGAUAACGUAGGGAAACUUACGCUAAUACCGCAUGCACCCUUCGGGGGAAAGCCGGGGACCUUCGGGCCUGGCGCGAUUGGAUGAGCCCACGUCGGAUUAGCUAGUUGGCGGGGUAAAGGCCCACCAAGGCGACGAUCCGUAGCUGGUCUGAGAGGAUGAUCAGCCACACUGGAACUGAGACACGGUCCAGACUCCUACGGGAGGCAGCAGUAGGGAAUAUUGGACAAUGGGCGCAAGCCUGAUCCAGCCAUGCCGCGUGAGUAAAGAAGGCCCUCGGGUUGUAAAGCUCUUUUGUCCGGAAAGAAAAGCGCCGGGUUAAUACCCUGGUGUCCUGACGGUACCGGAAGAACAAGCACCGGCUAACUUCGUG